rnacentral:lncRNA from 1 species
CAGCCACAAGCUCAGCCUCCUCCACAAAAGCCUAAAGAUGCUCCCAAAGCCGCCGAGAAGCCUAAGGAGGGCGAGAAGCCUAAGCAGCCUGAAAAGCCCAAAGAGGCUGAAAAGCCGAAGGAAGCUGAGAAGCCUAAGCAAGCAGAGAAGCCCAAAGAAGCCGACAAACCCGCAGCGCCUAAACCCGCACCAGCUCCUGCACAGGCACAGGCACCUGCUCCUGCCCAAAAGCAGCCUGGACCGCCACCACAAGCGAUGCCGAUGAUGUCACAUGGGCAACCAGUAGCGAUGUGUUAUGGGCCAUACUAUGAUGGUUUUGGAGGUGGACCAGCGUUCAGUGGAUACGGAAUGCCGCCGCAGCCGCAACCGUACCAGAGUUAUGGCCGACCUGUGUAUGACAGCUGGGGAGGAGGACCACCACCUAGUUACCGACAAUGCAACCUCAACCGAUGCGAUUACUUCAGCGAAGAGAACCCACAAAGCUGCUCCAUCAUGUGAUAUUACGACUCAUCAUUUCCUUUAUUCCCUCUCUUUGAUACGAAUAAUGAAAAGAAUAUAUAGAGAGAUGUUUACGUGUAAUCUUGUGAUAGGGUCCAUAAGGAAGGAUCGUUGUAUUUUGAAGCUGUAACUGUAAACAUUAUAAGAAAACUGUUUCAUUUUCUUAAAUAUGAAUCAAGAAUAAUAGUAUUUCCCUUUUAUCAAUUAUAGUAUCUAUUUUCUGUGUUGUACCUUAUUCUUAUGAAGCUACUAGUUCUCAUGAAAGUAGAGAGCUGAUUAGGUCUGCUUCUCCUUAGUUCAUGGUUUUUUUCUUUAUUAUCCUCCUAACUUUAAUGAUGAAGGGGUGGCAAAUUUGACUUUUCGUCCUAGUAAGCAUGCUCUAUUGAUUUGUUGUUUCAUUUUACAAGUAAUAUUUAGAACUUCAGACAUUAUUCAUGUCAAACAAGAUAUGUUUUUCAAGUGCUGUUACAUUAGCUGACCGUACUAAAGAAAAAGAGUUAGUGGUCAUAUGAUGGUCCGCACGUUGGUCCAAGAGUUGAAUAUAUAAGUGUAGGAGUCAAGGCAUCGAUCACAAACCACAUCACUACACAAUAUGGGCAUUCACACAUUGCGCUGUAAGAGUGGAAAGAAAGUUAGAGAUGUCUUGUUGGAUGAGAAAGCAGCAGAGAAGGCCAAGAAUCCAUCUCGAGGGACAAGGCGGUGCAUAAAGAUCAUUCUAACAAGAAAGCAGCUCCAGCUGCUACUACUGAAUAGCGUAGAAGGUGUUUCCUUUAAGCUGCCAGAGACUUAUGGUAGCUGCAAGCGGAAAUGGAAGCCAUCUUUGCAGACAAUAGUAGAGGUCGAUAACUAAUGAUGUCCUAGUCUUCAUACUCAGUUUCUGUACAAGUUUGAAUCUCCAUGUAGCUUGCAGCAGAGUAAGCAGAAGUGAGAGAGUUUUGAUAACAACUUAGUCUAGUAGUUGGGUUUUCCCUUGUCGAUCGUGUGAUCUGUAAAGUGUUCAACUUGCAGUUCCUUUUAUGGGUUUGUUAUAUUGAAUUCUUUAAUGUUAAAUCAAUUACUUUUGUGUGGUAAUGACAAAGUUGAUGCCUUUCCAUUGGAAUAUGAUGAAAAGGAAGAAACUUUGCAAAGCGAUUCGAUUCUUGUUCCUUCAUUCUCUUAGUUUUUAAACAAAGUCUUUGUGUUUGGUAAUCAAGAUGAAGAAAAGAGACAAAACCCAUUCCUCGGGACAAAGGCAUCUCCAAUGUCUCAUCCAUCAAUCCUAAAAUGACGAUUAUGCCCCUUCACAUCCUCUAAACCAUGGGGGCUCUUCAUGUCAUUGUAGGUAGAGUAGUUAUGAAUCAUCGGUUAAACUAAUGGUAAACAUUAAAGAAAAGCACCUGAGAACUUGUGUUGAUCAACCAAGCUGACGUUAAAAACCAUCUCAAUCCCCCUUCCUCACAAGCUGCAUUCAUCAUAGUUCUUAGCUUCAACAUAUCUCCUAUCUCUCCCUCUCUCUCUCUGGAUCAACAAGAAAUGGAGAUUCAAGCAAGACUAAUGGAAUACAAGUUCCAUGUCAUGAUCACAAUAAUCGUCAUCGUGGUUCUGUCGUCCCUCGUGUACGCAGCACCAAGAAUCCUCGACAUAUUAGCUUACUUCUGGCCUCUGUUUGCGUCAACGGCCGCCUUCUUAGCCAUGGCAAUCACCUCCGGCGCCUUCCAACAACUCUCAGAUGAAGCUACCGGCGAGGGAAUCAUGGAUUACGUCGCCGGACGGCCUGAAGAUUUUCACUAGUACGAAUGAAAGACAUUACAAUGUACAAAGUUGGUCCCUUUAUGUCAAAUAAAAUGUCACUGACUCAUUGAUUGAUUGUGUAACAAAAUCAAAUAGAUUAUAAGACUAUGCAGAAACAGAGUAUCAAUGACCAUAACAGAGUAUUACUAAUGAAACAGAACAAACUCUCUAGUAUCCAUAAUCAUAAGCGAACUCGUUGACACCAACCAUAGCCGAGACCACUUGCGAGACGAUAUAGAAGCUUCCACCUAAGAUGAUCACAAUGAGAACGGCGGAGAUUGGGUUCUUGAGGAGUUCGAAAAUGGGCUCAAAGACAGCAGAGAGAGCUCCUGUGCUGACGGUGAGAGCGUAAAGACCGUACCUUCUCACGUUGUCCCAAAACUCUUCCAUCAAAGGACCUUCUGGUCCCAAAGCCAACGCCUUUUCUCCGUCCAUUCCCAUCACCAAAGCCACCAUCAACCCUACCGAGACACCAGUCACCAAAGCUUGUCUCAGUUGCUUCUUCUCCAAACCCAAAGUUUGUGUCUUUUCAAGCUUGGUUUUGUUACUUUCCACCGUUAAUCUUCUGCACUGAACGCGGCAUGAUGGCCUGGUGCUUAUGCUUGAGCUCGGAGACACCUUAGCUGCUGGUAAUAAUCUGCUACUGCUCAGAUGGAGAUGAGGUUGCAGAGAAGAUACUUUCAUUUUGGGGAGAGACAUCAUCAUCAUCAUAGUCAUCUCACUUCUUCCUUGUAGUUAGUCUGAUUCUAUCUUUAUAUACUUAAGACUGUGUGGCUCUCCUGUACCUUAUCUUUGCGGAUAAAUCAUUUUUUUAUUUUAUUAUAAACUACAUAUUAUUACACAUAAAUCAAUAGAGCUCACACAUACAUUAUACAAGACAAGCCUUAAAGCUGAGCAAUCCCCUUCUUCACAAGCAUAUCAUAGACUCUGUCUACUUUGGUCGGAUCAAUCUUGAACAGGCUAUAAGCAUCUGACUUCUUUGUAACAUUCCCUUUGAAUAUCUCAUGUGACAUCACUUGCUGCAUCUGUAGAUAAACCGGUGGAACCAACUUGACCUCGCUGCAAAGACGCUUCUCCUGCCAAAAAAAAAUAGACAAACAACUCUCUUCUUUCAGUUACAGCAAUAAAAAAAGAAACUCUAUCUCACGCUUGUUCCAGGUCACUAGACAACUCACGGAUUCAGACAGCAGUUGCGACUCGUUGAACCCAAUCAUGUCCAAGUCGUUCACAUAGCUUGAAGAUGCUUGCACAGGACUGCUCUCUUUCCCUCUGUUCAUCCCUUCUUCGCUCUCUCGCUUCCUCUUCCUCCCUAGAUACCUCUCUGCUUCAGCCGUCGAACGACACCCUGCCAUUUGAGCUUCCUGCUCCGACCAGUCCAACACAAUCUAAGCAACCAAAACGCACAGUUUUGAGAGAGUAGCAAAUGUCCUCCUUACCUUGAGAUCUUUGAGCCGUUUCACCAUGCGGUACUCGCUGACAACACUAUUAAGUAGCUCUUGGUGCUCUUCUUUUGAAUGAAAGCGCAUGAAAACGUCUAAACGGCGGCUCUAUCAAGACCAUCGAGAUCGUCCAGCCACCCAAGCCGCCUCAGCCUCAGCCUCAGCCACAAGCUCAGCCUCCUCCACAAAAGCCUAAAGAUGCUCCCAAAGCCGCCGAGAAGCCUAAGGAGGGCGAGAAGCCUAAGCAGCCUGAAAAGCCCAAAGAGGCUGAAAAGCCGAAGGAAGCUGAGAAGCCUAAGCAAGCAGAGAAGCCCAAAGAAGCCGACAAACCCGCAGCGCCUAAACCCGCACCAGCUCCUGCACAGGCACAGGCACCUGCUCCUGCCCAAAAGCAGCCUGGACCGCCACCACAAGCGAUGCCGAUGAUGUCACAUGGGCAACCAGUAGCGAUGUGUUAUGGGCCAUACUAUGAUGGUUUUGGAGGUGGACCAGCGUUCAGUGGAUACGGAAUGCCGCCGCAGCCGCAACCGUACCAGAGUUAUGGCCGACCUGUGUAUGACAGCUGGGGAGGAGGACCACCACCUAGUUACCGACAAUGCAACCUCAACCGAUGCGAUUACUUCAGCGAAGAGAACCCACAAAGCUGCUCCAUCAUGUGAUAUUACGACUCAUCAUUUCCUUUAUUCCCUCUCUUUGAUACGAAUAAUGAAAAGAAUAUAUAGAGAGAUG